UACGUAGGGUGCGAGCGUUGUCCGGAAUUAUUGGGCGUAAAGGGCUCGUAGGCGGUUUGUCGCGUCGGGAGUGAAAACACUGGGCUUAACUCAGUGCUUGCUUCCGAUACGGGCAGACUAGAGGUAUGCAGGGGAGAACGGAAUUCCUGGUGUAGCGGUGAAAUGCGCAGAUAUCAGGAGGAACACCGGUGGCGAAGGCGGUUCUCUGGGCAUUACCUGACGCUGAGGAGCGAAAGCGUGGGGAGCAAACAGG
rnacentral:rRNA from 1 species